AAAUGAUCAUUCUCACAAACAAUAUAUCUUUUAUUUGCAAUUAAACCUCGAUAGAAUCAAAGCAUACAUUUGUAAAAACAUUGCUUGAAUCUACUUGGCAUACCUCAACAAGCAUAUUGUAUCUAAGGUGUGUCAAGAACAUUGAGCAUCACGCAAUCCACCCUUUAGCCAGAAUAGAUUCCAACCCUACGCUCGCUUACAACUGCACUGGGGUCGGACAGGCUGGGGUCGGACGACUCGUUCAAUCUUCUCGGUAUAACAGUUGGGAUAAUGGGACAAUUCAGAGUACAAUACAUUUCUCAUCAUUGGAUUGAGGUACGUUUUCUGAGCCAUAUCUGGCGCCACUGUGUCUUAAUCUAAACAGGAUCCUGUCCGACCCCAGUGCAGCUGUAAGCAAGCAUAGGGUCAGAAUCUAUUCUGGCUAUCCACCCUUUAACAUCUGAAAGACGUCUUUUAAGUCUGAGCUCAAUGUCGGUCUACACUUUUACUGGAAAAGGAUGAAAGGGUAUAAAGUACGUUGUAAUAGUGUUAUAAAUGAUUUUUAUGAAAGGUGUUUGAUAAAGUUUUAGUGCUGCCCAAAACAAAAUUGUCACUGACAGCAAUGGGUACAUGUCUUGGUUGGUAUCUUUAAGAAAGUGUGUUAUGAAAUGUGUCAUGUAUGAAAACACACAAAACAUGCCACAAAAGCUGAGCAUUGAAUUGUAUCAACAUGACAUUUUCUUGCCAUUGACUUGCCAUCUUACUUUUAAUUUUCUUGUGACACAUUUGCAAUGUAGAAAACCAAAUGAGGAACACAUAUGGUAAACACAUAACCCAUAUAAACAACUCUAAUUGGUUUGAACCACCUAUUCACCCAUAAAGAAGCAAAAUAGCAUCAGAAAUUCAAAGAAACAGCUCAGUCACUAACCUCAGAGACAAGGGGCUUGGGUGUCGAACUCCAUGUUAACAGUAGAACACAUGACAGAUCUAAGUGACUUUAAAAAACUGAAGGGGAAAAAGUGAUACCACUGCAAUUUAGAAAAAUAAUCCAAGUUAGGAAGUGCCUCCAGAGAGCAGAGGGACACAGUGCUGUACAGAACGUGUGGAACGCUGACCUGCCCUCUACCUGAAAAAGCGAGGCAAUGGCUGCUGUUUGAAAUUUCAAAAAGGAGAAGUGUAGUGAAGCAACUUGCCUUGGCUCUCCCUGUGAGUCAUGUAGCUCGACAUCCAUUGGUGGGUGAGCCUUCACGCAGAGUGGCUGCACCUGGCCAAUCGCAAGUCAGAGUGGGCUCUGUAUGCAAAUCCUUUCAGGUGAGUCACGGCAGGUGUUGGGGAUUGGCUGAGGGAUGGAUGUGGGGGAGGGGAGAGCGAGGACGGACCAACCAGUAAGCCACACCUUGAGCAAAGUUUUUCCUGCGGAGGAGUGCUGGGGUGGAAGAAGGGUGCUGUAAAUGCAUAGUUUAGUUUACCAUUGGUCUGGUAUGCAUUCGUUUGAGGACACUUGGACUUUGACCAAUCACUAUAAAGCAGUCUUGUCUUGGUCUGUAAGGAAAAUGGUUCAAGGCAUACACAAGACAUGGGACACACUUGAAUGUAAAAAUAUGGGUCAGAGAAGAAUACAAGCUCGUUUUCAUCCUUAAGCUUUCAAAGCAGAGUUAGAAAUGAGUUUUGAGGUCAUUAAGGCAGAGCAAAUGAGACAGUAAGAGGUAAAUCCAGGGGAGUAGCUCUUGUGGCAAUAGAGGCCACCAUAAAACCAACUUUUUAUGGGGCUUCACUGGAAGGUACAAGAAUAGUGGGCUAUAAAGACCAAAGCAGUCUCACCUGACCACAAUUAGACAUCAGAGGCAGGCCACUGGUCUUAGCUAACGCCUCAGCACAAGUGGGUCUAUAGACCCCUCCUCCCCCCUUGUACCCACCUGGAUGAUAUAAUGCUAAUGCAUAUGAGUGACCGUACUCGUGUAGACACAAAUACAGACACACACACACACCAGGCCCCAACUCAUCCUGCGCUGUGCUCUGAUGUAUGGGCCUUGAGAUAGCUUGACAAGCAUCUUUAUUUUAUCAGAAACAAUCAGACUGACAAACAGGAAGUUGAGUAGUUCUGUUCUGUGUUUUUUUUUCACUAACCCCUGUCUCCUUGACCUGCCGCCACUCCCGCAGAACUCUCUCCCUCUCUCUCUCUCUCUCUCUGUGUGGGUGAUUGUGUGGGCAGAGACAGGUGCGCUGGAGUCAGAGCAGAUACCCACCAGCUGCAACCUGUUCCAUAAUCAAGACCUCUACAAAUACUCAGCCCUGCCACUUCCAUGCUGCCAGAUCGUAAUCUCUGCUCAUUCUGCCCGCUCUGACUCUGGUCCCUGUCUCCAGUCCCACGUCUCGUCAUCCUGCUACUCUGUCCUGGAUUCCCCACACUACCCUGUCUCAACCCCUCUCGCUCCAACCUCAGCCUCCGCACCUGGUUUCCAGCGACCCGCCCGAGCUUCCCCUGACCUGCACUACAUCUCCCCCCUGUGUUUCAAUAAAUACCUUGGUUACUUCAUCCCAGUCUCCUCGUCUGAGUCAGCUCUUGGGUUCCCCUGUUUCACUCCGCUUAACAAACCCCA
ensembl:lncRNA